rnacentral:rRNA from 1 species
GCGGUCAUACGAACAGCCCAAAUUAAUAGAACCCGGCGUAAAGAGUGGUUAUGACGUUUAUACACUAAAGUUAAACUUAACCUCAGCUGUAGAAAGCUAAAGGCCUAAAAUUAAAUACUCUACGAAAGUGACUUUAACAAAUCAGAAUCCACGAUAGCUAAGACACAAACUGGGAUUAGAUACCCCACUAUGCCUAGCCUUAAACCUAGUUAAUUAGUAACAAAAUUACUCGCCAGAGAACUACGAGCAAAAGCUUAAAACUCAAAGGACUUGGCGGUGCUUUAUAUCCACCUAGAGGAGCCUGUUGUUUAAUCGAUAAACCCCGCUAAACCCUACCAUCAUUUGCUAAUCCAGUCUAUAUACCGCCAUCUUCAGCAAACCCUUAAAAGGAAUCAAAGUAAGCUUAAUUAUACUUAAUAAAAACGUUAGGUCAAGGUGUAACUUAUAUGAUGGAAACUAAUGGGCUACAUUCUCUUAAAAAGAGUAUUAACGAAUACCCUUAUGAAAAGAAAGGUUAAAGGAGGAUUUAGUAGUAAGCCAAGAAUAGAGAGCUUGACUGAAUUAGGCCAUGAAGCACGCACACACCGCCCGUCACCCUCCUCAAAUGUUAUCUGAACAAAAACAUAUUAAAAUUGAAAUAAACACAAGAGGAGACAAGUCGUAACAAGGUAAGCAUACUGGAAAGUGUGCUUGGAUUAUU